AUUAGAGUUUGAUCUUGGCUCAGGAUGAACGCUGGCGGUGUGCCUAAUACAUGCAAGUCGAACGCGUUGGCCCAAUUGAUUGAUGGUGCUUGCACCUGAUUGAUUUUGGUCGCCAACGAGUGGCGGACGGGUGAGUAACACGUAGGUAACCUGCCCAGAAGCGGGGGACAACAUUUGGAAACAGAUGCUAAUACCGCAUAACAGCGUUGUUCGCAUGAACAACGCUUAAAAGAUGGCUUCUCGCUAUCACUUCUGGAUGGACCUGCGGUGCAUUAGCUUGUUGGUGGGGUAACGGCCUACCAAGGCGAUGAUGCAUAGCCGAGUUGAGAGACUGAUCGGCCACAAUGGGACUGAGACACGGCCCAUACUCCUACGGGAGGCAGCAGUAGGGAAUCUUCCACAAUGGGCGCAAGCCUGAUGGAGCAACACCGCGUGAGUGAAGAAGGGUUUCGGCUCGUAAAGCUCUGUUGUUAAAGAAGAACACGUAUGAGAGUAACUGUUCAUACGUUGACGGUAUCCAACCAGAAAGUCACGGCUAACUACGUGCCAGCAGCCGCGGUAAUACGUAGGUGGCAAGCGUUAUCCGGAUUUAUUGGGCGUAAAGAGAGUGCAGGCGGUUUUCUAAGUCUGAUGUGAAAGCCUUCGGCUUAACCGGAGAAGUGCAUCGGAAACUGGAUAACUUGAGUGCAGAAGAGGGUAGUGGAACUCCAUGUGUAGCGGUGGAAUGCGUAGAUAUAUGGAAGAACACCAGUGGCGAAGGCGGCUACCUGGUCUGCAACUGACGCUGAGACUCGAAAGCAUGGGUAGCGAACAGGAUUAGAUACCCUGGUAGUCCAUGCCGUAAACGAUGAGUGCUAGGUGUUGGAGGGUUUCCGCCCUUCAGUGCCGGAGCUAACGCAUUAAGCACUCCGCCUGGGGAGUACGACCGCAAGGUUGAAACUCAAAGGAAUUGACGGGGGCCCGCACAAGCGGUGGAGCAUGUGGUUUAAUUCGAAGCUACGCGAAGAACCUUACCAGGUCUUGACAUCUUGCGCCAACCCUAGAGAUAGGGCGUUUCCUUCGGGAACGCAAUGACAGGUGGUGCAUGGUCGUCGUCAGCUCGUGUCGUGAGAUGUUGGGUUAAGUCCCGCAACGAGCGCAACCCUUGUUACUAGUUGCCAGCAUUAAGUUGGGCACUCUAGUGAGACUGCCGGUGACAAACCGGAGGAAGGUGGGGACGACGUCAGAUCAUCAUGCCCCUUAUGACCUGGGCUACACACGUGCUACAAUGGACGGUACAACGAGUCGCGAACUCGCGAGGGCAAGCAAAUCUCUUAAAACCGUUCUCAGUUCGGACUGCAGGCUGCAACUCGCCUGCACGAAGUCGGAAUCGCUAGUAAUCGCGGAUCAGCAUGCCGCGGUGAAUACGUUCCCGGGCCUUGUACACACCGCCCGUCACACCAUGAGAGUUUGUAACACCCAAAGUCGGUGGGGUAACCUUUUAGGAGCCAGCCGCCUAAGGUGGGACAGAUGAUUAGGGUGAAGUCGUAACAAGGUAGCCGUAGGAGAACCUGCGGCUGGAUCACCUCCUUAAU
rnacentral:rRNA from 2 species